UACGUAGGGUGCGAGCGUUACUCGGAAUUACUGGGCGUAAAGCGUGCGCAGGCGGUUUUGUAAGCCAGAUGUGAAAGCCCCGGGCUCAACCUGGGAAUGGCAUUUGGGACUGCAAGGCUUGAGUGCGGCAGAGGAGACUGGAAUUCCUGGUGUAGCAGUGAAAUGCGUAGAUAUCAGGAGGAACACCGAUGGCGAAGGCAGGUCUCUGGGCUGACACUGACGCUCAUGCACGAAAGCGUGGGGAGCAAACAGG
rnacentral:rRNA from 1 species